CCCGCCUUUUCCUCACAGCCCCGCCCCCGUCCCGUGUGGGGAGGCACCCGCCGCCAUUUUGGGGUCGCCCCCUUGGGGCCCUGGGCUGGUCCCGCCAUGGCCCCGCACCCUGAGGGGCUGCGCUGGUUCCAGAUCCCCCUCUCCUCCGCCCGCGUACCCCGCUCGGUGAUCUUCAGCCAUGGCUUCCAGGCCGGUCUCCAGCGUUACCAGCAGCUCCGUGCCCUCAAACACCUCCGGGUGGGCCGCCCCGUCGCCCCGCCUCCCCCUGGCCUGCUGGAGCCCUGUCCCCCCGACUCCCCGCCCGCUGACAGCCCUCCCCGGGCCUCCAAACGCCCCCGGGGUGGCAGCGGGGUGCGAGCCCCCCGGCGCCACAAGGACUCCCCUGGCACCAAGAAACGGGUGAGCAGAAGCCGGCAGUCUCCUGGCCCCACUCCUCCCCGUGCCAUCCGGCGGGAUGGGGCCGACCGGGACUCCCCACCGUGCCAGGAGACACCGGACACUUCCAGCCCUGUCCCGGUGACACCGGUGCCAGUUACGGGGUCCCUGGGGGGUGAUGCCAACAUUGGGCAACACACCACAGCCGGGCAGGGGGCAACGGUGCCACAGCAGGAGGGCAACGAGUCUGGGGGGCACCUGCUGGGCACGGCGACGGGGUGGGUGUCCUCCACAGACAGCGAGGACGAUGACCUGACCCCACUGAGGGACGUGCUGGUGGCUGGGGACGAGCCCCCAAGCCCUGUGGACCACCAGGUGGGUGCUCAGGGGAGGGGGUACCCCAGUGCCCACCCGGGUGCUGUGGUUUCCCCCCCUAAAGCAUCAUCAUCCCCUUGAUUUGUCGCCCAGGUCGGUUGCCCACGGGCAGAUCCGCUUGCCAACAGCCUGGAAUCACCAGUCCAGGAGAAGAGGUAAGGAUGGAACCCCCAACUUAGGGCACGGGGACAUUUUGGGGUGCCCUCCCCGUGCCCUCACCCACCCCUGUGGCAGGGAGCAGAGCCAGGCAGCCACGCAGCACCCCGACCUGUCGCGGGUCCACGUGGACAACAACAAUCCCUGGAAAUCCCUGGAGGAGAA
rnacentral:lncRNA from 1 species